CCUACGGGUGGCAGCAGUGGGGAAUAUUGGGCAAUGGGCGCAAGCCUGACCCAGCAACGCCGCGUGAAGGAAGAAGGCUUUCGGGUUGUAAACUUCUUUUGUCAGGGAAGAGUAGAAGACGGUACCUGACGAAUAAGCCACGGCUAACUACGUGCCAGCAGCCGCGGUAAUACGUAGGUGGCAAGCGUUGUCCGGAUUUACUGGGUGUAAAGGGCGUGUAGCCGGGUUGACAAGUCAGAUGUGAAAUCCUGCGGCUUAACCGCAGAACUGCAUUUGAAACUGUUGAUCUUGAGUACUGGAGAGGAAGAUGGAAUGCCGAGGGUAGCGGUGAAAUGCGUAGAUAGUAGGAGGAACACCAGUGGCGAAGGCGGUCUGCUGGACAGCAACUGAGGGUGAGGCGCGAAAGCGGGGGGAGCAAACAGGAUUAGAUACCCUAGUAGUC
rnacentral:rRNA from 1 species